GACGAACGCUGGCGGCGUGCUUAACACAUGCAAGUCGAACGGAAAGGCCCUGCUUUUGUGGGGUGCUCGAGUGGCGAACGGGUGAGUAACACGUGAGUAACCUGCCCUUGACUUUGGGAUAACUUCUGGAAACUUGGGCUAAUACCGGAUAGGAGCUCCUGCUGCUUGGUGGUGGUUGGAAAGUUUCGGCGGUUGGGGAUGGACUCGCGGCUUAUCAGCUUGUUUGUGGGGUAGUGGCUUACCAAGGCUUUGACGGGUAGCCGGCCUGAGAGGGUGACCGGCAAAAUUGGGAAUGAGAGACGGACCAGAAUACAACGGGAGGCAGCAGUGGGGAAUAGUGCACAAUGGGCGGAAGCCUGAUGCAGAAACGCCGCGUGCGGGAUGACGGCCUUCGGGUUGUAAACCGCUUUCGCCUGUGACGAAGCGUGAGUGACGGUAAUGGGUAAAGAAGCACCGGCUAACUACGUG
rnacentral:rRNA from 1 species